rnacentral:rRNA from 1 species
UACAGGGGGUGCAAACGUUGCUCGGAAUCAUUGGGCGUAAAGCGCACGUAGGCGGUUACUUAAGUCGGAUGUGAAAGCCCUUGGCUCAACCGAGGAAGUGCACCCGAAACUGAGUAGCUAGAGUACGAAAGAGGGUCGCGGAAUUCCCGGUGUAGAGGUGAAAUUCGUAGAUAUCGGGAGGAACACCGGUGGCGAAGGCGGCCUUCUGGACAGUGACUGACGCUGAGACGCGAAAGCGUGGGGAGCAAACAGG